rfam:Picea glauca, whole genome shotgun sequence.
AGCCGUGUGGUCGACAUAUAGCGAACUAUUCUUUCGCCUUUUACUAAAGAAUACCGUGUGUUGGCCACACUGAGCGGCAUACGCCAAUAUUUGAAGGCUUCCAUCUCUUUAAGAUGGAG